AUUGAACGCUGGCGGCAGGCCUAACACAUGCAAGUCGAACGAGUGGCGGACGGGUGAGUAAUGUCUGGGAAACUGCCCGAUGGAGGGGGAUAACUACUGGAAACGGUAGCUAAUACCGCAUACCAUCGGAUGUGCCCAGAUGGGAUUAGCUAGUAGGUGGGGUAACGGCUCACCUAGGCGACGAUCCCUAGCUGGUCUGAGAGGAUGACAAGCCACAAGGGAACGGAGACACGGUCCAGACUCCUACGGGAGGCAGCAGUGGGGAAUAGUGCACAAGGGGCGCAAGCCUGAUGCAGCCAGGCCGCGUGUGUGAAGAAUGACUUCGGGUUGUAAAGUACUUUCAGCGAGGAGGCGGUACUCGCAGAAGAAGCACCGGCUAACUCCGUGCCAGCAGCCGCGGUAAUUC
rnacentral:rRNA from 1 species